AUCUGAAAAUCUCCCUGAUUAAAAAAAAAAAAAAGCUUUUAUCAAAUCCUUUUUAUGUGCCAUUUCCCAUUUUCACCAAACUGAAUACAAGGCUGAAAAUAGAGCUGGUAUCUUGUAUUAGUAGCAUAGGUUCAGACGUUAGCCUUUUCUUUUUCACUGUCUACACAACUUGACGAGGAGUUUGAAAUAUUCCAGUUUUGAAUGUUUUGUCAUCCAGAUGCUAACUCAAGCUAGUUUAAAACAAGCCAAUUGAAACUGGUUUCUGAAACUGACAAUUUAAUCUAAACAAUUAACAUUACCUAUGGUUCUGUGUGAAUAUUAUUGCAAAAAGCACUUAUCUAGAAGUAAAGAUUUACAGAGUCUUUAUCUGAUUAUAUAGAAGACAUAGAGGAAACAUGUAAGUGCGAAAGGAGGCUAAAUACUUUCAUAUGUGACUAAUAUAGUUCAGUACAAAUUCAUAAUGCGGAUGUGCUGUAUGCUCUAUCUAUAGCAAUAGACCAACUUGAUUUUUAAUAUGUUGUGCUGAUGAUUUUCCAUGAUCAGAGGAUCUCCAGAAUGUGUGAAAAUGCUGCAUUUAUGGUUCAAUAGCUAGGCAGUUUAGAUGAUACGGUAUGGUAUUUUGUCUGUAUUUCAUUCUAGUAUCACUGGAGCUGGAUGUUUCUGCAAAGCAGUCAAGCUAAAUCUGAGAUUAUGUGAUUGAAACUGUAAUUCCAUGUUACAAAUGCUCAAUUGGUAACAAUACUGUCUGCAUAGAAGAGCUUUCAGCCUUUCUACUGAAUAUAAGCUAUAGAAAAGGCAUGGAAAAAGUGCUGUAUGGGCUACAUAUAGCCUCCAAAUCCAGUUGUUGCAACCCUCAAGUCUCUAAAGGAAGGAAAAUGAGGUUGUUGUAUUUACCACCUCUGAGGCCUGCAACAACUCCCCAAUUUAUAAGAAAACUAACAUUGCCCCUAAAAUCUUCAAGAACCUGAGAACAGUAGUGAUGUGUCAUUUCUGAUGCAGCUGGUAUAAAUGAAUUGACCCACAACAGAUGCAACAAUAUUCUCUGCUCUGUGAACAGAGGCCCAACCUUGCUCCAGAGCAAGGAAGGAAGUAUUUUUAUGAUUAGAGAUUGUGACAUUUCUUCAAUUUGUGUAUUCAUUUCCAAAGAGGUGUUUAUAGAAGAGUGUAUCUUUCUUUGUUUAUUGUUUCCGUGUGGGGUUCUGAAUGCCAGUGAAUCUGAUACUGUAUAAGAUAUACUGAAGCUCAAGCAUGCAGAAUCCUUGGUAUAGAUUUUUGUGGGCUCGGCUUCCAUCAUACUAAUAAAGAUUCUAAAAGGGUCUAAGCAUCACAAACCAUCUUAAAAUGCCUGAAAAAUUAUUGAGGCCCACAAGUCACAAUUAUUCCAGAUCCCUCUUUCAAAUUUCUUCACUUAUUUGCCACAAUUACAUCUUACUGGCAUGGGUAGUAUAAUUCAACUUUUCUCAACUUAAGUAUUGAAAAAGUUAAAUUUCUCAAGCAGAUUUGUUGGCAUGCUAGACUGUUACGGAGGUACUGAGAACCUCCCUUGUGGCCACUCCUCUCCAAUUUAAAAACCCCAUAACCUUUUAAAGCCAAGUAGUAGUUCAAGCCCUAAAUAGCAACUGUACUUUUGAACUUACUUAUAAAAAAAGUUUGUUUUAUUAUUAACAAGAUCAGAUUAUGAUGGCAAUAAAAACAUAUUUCCGAUGUCUUCAGUUAUGUAUUUUUAAGAACAUUUUACUCCAUCCUCCUGUCUGAAGGCUAUUAGAACAGCUUACAAAUAAUUUCUUUGGCAGUCUUCUGCCCUUAGGCCCACAACCUAAAUAAGGUAGGACUCCAAGCCAAAGAGACCUAGCCAUGUGGGACCAAGACAGAACAGAGCCGUGUCCAGCUGCUCUUCUAAAAGGCCAGAGCAGCAGUCUUUGCAGUAGGAGAAGAAGAGGUCAUCUCAUCACAGUGGGGCUGUGCUUGGCUGCCCUCCUCUCCCUCAGAGGCCCAGAGCAGAGUAAGAUCUGCUUCCAUUCUUUCUACUUCACUUCUAUUGACGUCUCCCAAAUAAGAUUCACUAGACAAACAGUUGGAAUUGUUUAGUAGUUUCUUCCAUUAAUCAUUCGUGUUUAAGAAUGUGUUAUUGGUUGUAAGGAUUCUUGCUUUUCCAUUCCUUUCUGCAUUUUUAAGAUUCCAAAAUUAUAGAGUUGGUAAGAGAAGGAUGUGGAACAUGAACAAUUCCUUGAGGCACAGUAGACUUAAGUCUGUUUCCUUAGAUGUAUGGAAUGAAGUGCCUGGGAUCAGGCCUUUAUAGUCAGUGUGUGUUUGCGUGUAGACAUAGAUUAUAACAUUUGCGAGUAUGGCAAUAAGGUGACAAGUUCAGUUUUGUAGACGUUUGUUGGACUAUAAAGGGAGGAGGAUAGAAGUUGCUUAAAGCCAGAGUGAGUAGGUAAGUAUAUGAAUGAGGGAGGAUGUCAUUGGGAUGUAGUCUGAUACUGCCUGAGAACCAGAAAGGAGUUGUAAUAAAGUGGCUAAUUCAGGCUUCAUGAGGCUGGAUUAUAAACACGUGUCAUGUGCCAGGAAACCAUUGUCUCUUUAACCCACUGUUGCUAUACUGGAGUUUAUGAAUACAUUCCACUUCGCUGUUUCUCUUUCUUCCUUUGUAGGUUUUUUCUUGUUCAAGGACAGCUGUUCUGAGUCAGAGAUAGAAUGCCUAAGAAGAGUGAAGUUUUGUGUAUUUUUAUUCCUAAAGUUUGAUUCAUUUAUCCAUCAACAAUAGCUUGAACAGAAACAAUGUUGUUUUUAAAAUAUAACAUCAUAAUGUGUUCCCGAAAGACAUACAACAACCCUAUAACAUCAUAACAUUUUUGGUCCCAACAUUUUUGGUCCCAGCUUUACAGAUUAUACCAAUAAAGCUGCUGUAUAUUAGUGUUUCUCAGGCUAUCUGAUGUGAGGGCCUAUCAUUUCCAUGAGACUCCUGGGGAAAGUACCAUAUUUAUGUCCAUUAGCUACAACUCUUUAUUUCUUAUUGGCAACUUUCUGUGGACUGACAGUGGACGACCUGUAGAACAGUGCUGGUUCAUGGACUACCAUUUUGAGUAGCAUUAGUAGAGAUCACUUGUCAAAAUUUAAAUAUCUUGAAAUAAAGGCAUUUUAUAGCUUUUUAACUUCAAUAUCAAUGCAGAUCAUCCCCAUGCAGUCUUUUUGUAUAUUGCCAGGCUUCAGAUAAAUCUAUUAACCCAUUUUCUGAGUAUAAAUUGUCCUCCUGAACUGCCACACCUAGUCAUUUUUUGUUAAUAAUAGAGAGAGAUAAUCUAACCAAUAUAACCUUAACACAUUUCAGUUGGACUUUUCUUAAGCUUUUGUUCUUUUUUAGAAUUGUUUUCCAGACUUCAUGUCUGUAAUAUGUGAUUUCGGUCAAGGGUUAUGUAAUCAUAGAGUUGGAAAAGACCACAAGGACUAUCCAGUCCAACCCACUUCUGCUAUUCAGAAACACCCAACCAAAGCAAUCUUAACAGAUGUCCAUGCAGUCUUUUUAAAAAAUCCUCCAAAGAAGAAAACUCCACCACAAUCUGAGGGAGUAUAUUUCAUCUUUGAACAGAUCUUAGGAAGUUCUUCCAAAUGCUUAGUUGGAAUUUCUUUUCCGGCAGUCUGAAUCCAUUCCUCCACCUUCUAGUCUUCAGAGCAGCAGAGUACAAGCUUACCUCCUCCCCAAUGUGAUAUUCAGAUAUUUAAACAUGGCUAUCAUGGCCCCUCUCAAUCUUCUUUUCUCCAAGCUGAACACACCCAGCUCAGCCAUUCUUCACAGGGCUUGGCUUUCAGACUACCUUUGAAUUUAAGAGUAAAUGUAUUUGAAUGUGCAUCCUCUUUUUCAAUGUCCACGUCCUGAACAGAACAACAACAAAAUGAAUUUUGAGACAUCCUGAAAUCACGUUCAAAAACUAAAUAAAUUGAAAUGCUUUGAGAAACAAUAACAAAAGUGGAAAUGAAACUAAAAGGGGUAUUUUGGCUUGGCUCUAGUUCAUUCAAAUACAGAGGAAUUUUUUGUUUAUCUUUUGAAGCUUUGUUUUCACUGUUACAUUAUUCCAAACUGCUGAGAACUUUGCAUUUCACAGCAUAGAACGGAAGCUUGAAUUGAUUAAAAGGUUGAAAGUAGAUUGUAAAAUUUGUUUUAGCCAUAGUUAAAAACAUUUUUUAAAAAAAUUAACCAUUGCACUCAACUUUGACAUGGAAAUAUUGAGUUAAUUUGAAACUAUAUAUAACUCAGUACCCAGGUGAAGUAUUUUCCUCAUUUUUACAUGGAUAAAACUAGUAUUCCUCUGUUUUUAUUAAAUGAAUGAAAAUAAUGGGCAAUAGAUACUGUUUCUGUUUCUUUUCUCCAGUACUUUAAGCUUCUUGGGUAACUUGAACUUUGUAAGCUUCUUGGCAUGACUUGCACUCUAAUCAGAAAAUGUCUUUUUGUGUUGGCAUGUGUACACAUGGAGGAUAGCUGUGCACAUUAUUUCUGAAAGCAUAUCUUUAAAAUUGCAUGAGCAUUUUCUAACACUUGAAGAAAUGAAUUGUUCUGUUUGUUCCAGAAUGCUCUGAACCAAAGUUUGGUUAAGUCUUUAGAUUUAAUCUCUGCCUUGCCAUUCACUUUAGUGUAGCUAUAUUAAAAUAAAUACAAAUGGUAGUUGUUUUACUUUACAGAGAAAUUGUCUAAGGUGAGAGGUUCUUUAAUAUUUUUGUGCCUUAGUUAUAUUUACAAUUAGCUACACAUAGAAGAAAAGACUCCCAUGGCUUUGCUUACCAGAAUAAAUGAUAUUCUAUGUGGUUCCUCAUUGGCCUAAUUUAUACUAUCAAAUUAUGAAUUUACAAUUAAUGACAGAAAAUCUAUAUCUCAGUUUCCAUUUCCCGCCUGUUCUAGCAGCUGUUAGUCUUUGAAGGGUCCAGCUGCUUCUGCAGAAGUUUCACUAUUCUAAAAAGAAUUUCUUUUUUAUUGUAAAUAUAAGUAAACGAAACAAAAACAUGUUAGAAAACCAACACCAAUGUAGUGCUGUUAGGACAAAUGUCAGCAGAGUGCAUUAGUAAAAUGUUUCUUGGAAAAGACUAUGAACUUGCUAAUCAUUGAUGUAGAUGUGAAAUACUUUGUGCUCUCAGAGAUCUAUGUUGAUGUAGCAGAUUUAUCCCAGUGGAUAGAUUAAAAGUGAGGGGCUUGAAGAAACAGAACGAGGUCUGGAAACAUUAAUAGCACUACAUUACAAGUUGAUGGCUAGAUGAAAACUGGCUCUAAUAGAUAUUUCUAUUUUCAAAAGUGCAUUUGCUAGACAAGCAGUCAUCUUUCAAGCAGGGAUAAGAUCUGUCAAGAGACAUUUUCACCUCUGUGCACACACAGAGCAUUACGGUAUAUGAGCACACCAAAGGCUCCCCCCCCCCCACCUUCCAUAAUCCUUUUUAAAAAAAAUGUCAGGGUGAUUUAUCACCCUCUUUGGUCAUGAGAGAAGCUUCUGGAGGGCUCUCACUUUGUUUUGCAGCAGUUUUGAACCAUUUGGAGGGAGAAAUACUCAAUUAUUUUUGGGGGCAGGAAGUUUGGGGUCUUCAGGUGGGACUUCAAGGGCCUCAUGUGACCCAUGGACAGCCCUUUGUUUAUCCUUGCAUUAAACAUGUAGAUAUUUAAGGUCAGGGCCCAAUUAUAAAUAGUACUUCAGAAGUCCAAACAAUAGGUUACUGUCAAACUAAUAGGUAGGGUUUUGUCUGCUACCAGAGAGUUGCAAAAGAAAGGAAUUGUUUAUGCUUACUAUUGGAAACAAGAAAAAUUCCCAGUAUUCCAAAUACUGGUUUCCUAUAGUACUAAGGGAAAAUUAAUAAUACAGUGAUAUAGGAAUAACAAGAAAAGGAAAAAUUGAGAAGUUAGUGACAAGAAUAACAGAAUCCCCAAUAAUAUCCAAGGGGUCCUGGAAAGUUAAUCUACUAAAGUUAAGUUGUUUUAUGACAAAAAUAAUAGAUUUUUUAUUAUGAAGAAGACAGCAGAGACAGGGUAGGAAGCAUUAGUUAGAGCUUUUUAUUUUCCAUUUCUUUACUUUUCUGUUUCUUUUGUUUCAAAACAUUGUACACCUGCUUUUCUAUCCUUCUGUUUUAGACUAGAAAAUGAAUGUUCUUUUUCUCUCCUUUUUAUCAUAAUGGAAACCUUUUUUGUUUUAGAAGAAGAUGAUGAAGAUAUAAGAUGUUAAAAAUGUCCCUGUUCUAUAUCUGCUCUCGUACCCUUCCCCAUUCCGCACAUAUUUGUAUUAAAAAUUUAAUGGGGGAAAUAUGAAAAGGAAUAUUAGAGUAAAGAACUAGUGAGAAAAAGGACCAAACCCCUCUCUUUUUACACUUUAUUAAAAAUCCUCUCCCUACGUGUCUUGAUUUUCUUAACCAAACCUCAAGACCAGAAAUGCUUAAGUUGAGGGAAAUGGGAAAAAUUACUCAAGCAUCCCCAUCCAACCAGCCAUUUCUGCAUUGUUUCUGACUGCUAUUUUACAGCUCUUUUGCACAGAUUCAUGCUCUAUUCUUUUAUUUUGCCUCAGUAACAUAUUAUGUUACAUGCACUAGUAGAUAUGGACUGCCAGAUCAGGAAGGUAAAAAUGGAAAAGUGGUAAAUAUCUGCUGUUUCUUGGAGGCGAGGGAUUGCAAUGAUUUUCAGGUAUCCAGGACGUAAACUAUUUUGAGCAGUAGAACACAAUCAUCAGUUUGUCUAAAUAAAAAACAUUUGUCUUCAGAAACCAAACUUAAGAGAAACAAGUUCUUCAUAUUUGCACGGAAGCUGGCUGUACAUAGCACUGAUUGCUUAAUACUAUUUUCUUAGACUAGGUGGAUAAAUACAAUGCAGCCAGUAAAAUACACUUAAAAGCAUGGAAAAAUACAGGUGUAUUUCUCAGUGUUUGUACUACAAAAGUGGGGAAAACUGGUCUUGUUUCUUUUGAGAGUGGAGUUUGUUAAUGUUUGGCAGUACCCAUUUAGGGUAAGUUUCUGUGCACCAAUUAUAUGGAACAAAAAUAAGUACCAUUUUAAUAGUAUCUUACUAAAAAUACCAGUAUUUAUUAGACUUCAUUGAUUGUUAUAAGGGACUUAGUUUUAAUUCAGAUCCAGUUUUAUAAGUGUAAGUGACAGUCCAAAUUUGAUGAAGUGAAAUCCACAUUUAAACUCAUAUCUUGAUCAAAACCUGAGACUUUAAGAAAAGAGUGAAUAGUAAAAUACAGUAUUUGCUAUUUGUAAGGGAAAUCAUCAGGAGGAGAGGUUUGGUAUGAUUUCCUCCGACCAGGAUUUCUAUAGAUCUUUGCCUCACCACCUUUCUGUGAUUUGGACAGAUCCUGUACUUAAUAAAUAAAUAAAUAAAUAUCCCACUAUUGUAUCUAGUUUGAUUGCAUGUGUGAUAGAUUGUUAUGUCAGUGGCUAUACAAGUGAAAUAACAGGCGCGAUAUGAUAUUUUAAA